ensembl:lncRNA
AAGACAGCCUUCAAAUUAUAGCAAAAACCAAUGCGAGUCAUUUAUUUAGACAUUUAUUUCACAUACAAGUUUUCAAGAAGACAUCUAAGUGAACAUUCACACAAAACAAUGAGUGGACAUACAUUUAUACUAGGAAUGCAUUCAGAGGUAAGGGCUUAGCAUUGCACUUGGGGUGUCCCCGGCUCCCUCAGAGUUGAGGCUUGUCUGUCAUGGGGCACCAGGGUCCCCAAAUUGGCUUUCUUCACUGCAGCUACCUGCCACGGUCUGUCGCCUGCUGUUGAACAUGAGUGAUUUGUCCCUUCUCCUCACUGAGCAUGCUCCUAGACUGCUCACAGCAACCUCUUGCUGAAGUACGGGAUGGACUCAUGGAAUGGAUUCAGUAUGGCCUGAACGCUGCCUGCGGUGGCAAGCCAGGGUGGCGGCCUGGUCUUAUAACUUCUCUCUUCUGAUGCCCCACAGCCUCAUAGGAGCUGGAGUGGUCUUGGCAAUCAUGCUCAACUUCUCUUCAGAUAAGGAACUCAGGCCCAGAGAGAGACUGGUUUGUCCAACAACACUCAGAAAGUGGUAGUGACAAGAAUGAAACCUGUCUUACAGCUUCUGGUCUAAUGCUUAUUCUAGGUGGCAGGCUGCCCUGAGCUGUUUUAAGCAUACUGUGAAGUUUUCCUCUUAAAAAAAAAAAAAAUGUUUCCUUCCAGAUGAAUAAAGUAGGUUGUAUGUGUAAUAAAAAUGCCAGUAAGAAUUAGGGUGUUUGUGGGAGUAACACAGUAAGCGCAGGCAGGGAUACAGCCAGGCUCCAAAGGGUCUUGGUUAAGAAGUCAGAGAAUAAAAUGACUACUUACGUACACUUAAAAAAAAUAGGAUAUGGGGUACAAAGAUAUAAGACAGGAUUAAGUAAAUACAUGUUUAAGUGGUUGGCUGAGGUGACUUAAAAGUUCUGUUUUUGUAAGUUUCUUUGUUCCAGCAGCCAGAACAAAGAAAGAAUAGUAGUAAGUUGCUUAAAAAAAAAAAAAAAAGUCACAGUGUUUGUAAGGUAACAUUGUUUUUGCUUUAGGAUCAGAGCUUUCCCUGCUACUGAAACUUAGGGGAAAAACUUGUAUGGAUUGUCAUGAAGGCAAUGUUAUGUGAUAUGAGACACAGUAAUCAGAGUGUGACUUCACUUUUGACUUUCAUGUCCACCUGAAAAAAGACAAAAUACAAACAGCCUUGGUCUAAGAUGGUGGGCAGGACUGUCUCCUUCUAUAGAAGCAAAGUUCAUUCAGUUAAUUUAAUACAAGUCCAAAUGCCCACUUACAACUGAGAAUAGGUAAGGGGACCCAAAUUCCACCUCGGCAUGAUCCCAGACAUGACAGACAGAAUUGGAUUAUUCCACCUGGAGAAGGAAUGGUUCCUGAGCCUUUCUGGCCACUGGGGAAGUUUAAGAGACGGAGGUAGAGAAUAUGAUUUUAGGCAUUGAGAAAAACUCUUCUGCAAGAGAAGGUGGCUCUUUCAUUAAUGAACAAAUAAUGUUCCAUAACGGACAUGAAUGUAAUUGGCAUUAUCUUUUGCUGCAAUAGUUCGUUCACCAUGUUGCACGUUUCUUGAGCACAGACACCAAGCCUUUUUUCAUUUCUAUAUCCCUCACUGUGCCUAGGAACAUAGCCUUACACAUAACCGUGCUUAAUUAAUACUUAUAGUAAAUCAUCUACUUUCCUGAAUCAUGCUUUGAUAUAAUGAUCAACCCUGGGUACCUAUUACUAAGUGGUGACUCUAUUAAUGUGCAUCUUCUCUAGAGCAGUGAUUCCAGAACAUCUACACAAUACAAGCACACACCCACGGGCACCACACACACCUCUCUGUGCUGGGCACACUAGUGACGUGAAACUUCACUUAACUAUUAGGGAUUUAUAAUUUGGACAACGCAGCGGAAAUCAACCUAGUGAGAUGUGAACAAUCGUAACGCUCCUAACGCAUGUCAGAAAGAAACAUUUAUCAACGUUUACCUGAGUCACCUGCCUUCCAACAGGCCACAGCCUAUUCUGACACCAUAGGUUGGAUUUCCUUCCUUCCUGCCUAUAUCCUCCUUGGUACCUUCUUGGAUAAGUUUCAGAAAAUUCAAACAUACUCA